CUGUUUACCAAAAACACAGGUCUCUGCGAAGUCGAAAGACGACGUAUAGGGGCUGACGCCUGCCCGGUGCCGGAAGGUCACGAGGAGAGGUUAGCCUUCGGGCGAAGCCUUGAAUCCAAGCCCCGGUAAACGGCGGCGGUAACUAUAACCGUCCUAAGGUGACAUGGCUUAAAAGGACAGUAGUCCUUGAAGGCCAAUUACGUUGCCCCCCGCGUCGGUAACGGCGUGGUGUGCAUCUGGCUAUAUGCUGGAAAACCCGGUUGUAUCCCGCACUACUCGUGUUGUCCGAGCGGACAUCUACAGUGACAAAGUGUCGGGUGCGGAAAAUCAGCAGGAAAGGCUGAUCGAGUUCCGUGGUUGGGUGAUCGGUUUCGUAGACGGAGAAGGGUGCUUCUCAAUCGGUUUCGUGCGGCAACCAAACCGCCCGGGCCGAAAGGGCUACAAAACCGGUUUCCAGGUGUCUCACGAAUUCGCGGUCACGCAAGGCGCUUCUGGCAUUGCGUGCCUCGAAGAUCUUCGUGAGUUCUUCGGCGUAGGUGAUGUGAUUCCCAACAGGCGGUAUGACAACCACCGGGAGCACAUGUAUCGCUACGUCGUACGUCGCCGCGAGGAUCUACUGGAGACAGUUAUUCCGUUCUUCAGCAAGUAUCCGAUGCGGAGCCCGAAGCAGCAGAACUUUCAGAAGUUCGCGCGCUGCGUCGGGCUGAUCUCCUCAGGCCGUCACAAGUCGGCCGAAGGUCUCAUCGAGAUCGCGGAGAUCGCGCAAACGAUGAACCGGAAGAAACCCAGACACGAUCUGAUCAGAAUCCUCAGAGGCCAUACGCCAGACAUCCGGGACACCGGAUGAUGAGAUGGUCCCGUCUGCAUGGCGACAUGCAGGGAUGCCAAUCCAAAGGAAGUUGGCGUCCGCCUAAUUGACGUUAGGUAAGACCUCUAGCGAAAUUCCUUGUCGGGUAAGUUCCGACCUGCACGAAUGGCGUAACGACUUGGGCGCUGUCUCAACGAGGGAUCCGGUGAAAUUGUAGUCUCGGUGAAGAUGCCGAGUACCCGUGGUUGGACGGAAAGACCCCGUGCACCUUUACUACAGCUUGACGUUGGAGUCUGGGAUUCGUUGUCCAGGAUAGGUGGGAGGCUGUGAAGCGGGGACGCCAGUCCCCGUGGAGCCACCCUUGGGAUACCACCCUUCGAAUUCUGGGCUUCUAACCAGGGACCGUUAUCCGGCCUUGGAACAGCGUCAGGUGGGUAGUUUGACUGGGGCGGUCGCCUCCUAAACUGUAACGGAGGCGCGCAAAGGUUCCCUCAGCACGGUUGGAAAUCGUGCGUAGAGCGUAAUGGCAUAAGGGAGCUUGACUGCGAGACUGACAAGUCGAGCAGGUGCGAAAGCAGGCCAUAGUGAUCCGGCGGUAAAGCGUGGAAUUGCCGUCGCUCAACGGAUAAAAGGUACGCCGGGGAUAACAGGCUUAUCCUUCCCAAGAGUCCACAUCGACGGAAGGGUUUGGCACCUCAACAACAUCUGGGGUGGGCCGGCAGAGAUGCCGGUCAUGAAUCGGCUAAUAACGGUGGAGCCCACGCCUGUACACAAGUUGGGUAAUACCGUGGGAAGUCUGUCGGAAGUGUUGACCAGUUUCGAACAAGCACUCCGCAAGUGACCCCGUAACGACUGAGGCCGCAAGGCCGAGGUGGUGUUCUUGCUCCACAGGAGCAAAUCUAUGGACGCCACAAUACGCCGACCCCUCGCCUUUGGUCAGGCAGGGUGGAGAUAUAGUCUGCGCCGCCGGUAACGGCGGAAUAAAGCGCGAUGUCGGCUCGUCGCAUCCUGGGGCUGGAGCAGGUCCCAAGGGUCGGGCUGUUCGCCCGUUAAAGCGGUACGCGAGCUGGGUUCAGAACGUCGUGAGACAGUUCGGUCCCUAUCCACCAUGGGCGCUGGAAGCUUGAGAGGAGUCGCUCCUAGUACGAGAGGACCGGAGCGAACAGACCUCUGGUGUAUCAGUCGUCGUGCCAACGGCGCUGCUGAUUAGCCACGUCUGGAUGGGAUAACCGCUGAAAGCAUCUAAGCGGGAAGCCCACCUCGAGAUGAGGCUUCCCAUCCCCCAGAGGGAGUAAGAGCCGUGGGAGACCACCACGUUGAUAGGCGGGACGUGCAAGCGUGGCAACACGUUCAGCGGACCCGUACUAAUUGCUCGAGGUCUUGAUUUUUGAACACC
rnacentral:rRNA from 1 species